UUAAAAGGUUUUUCUUAACUGUGGUGAUUUAUUUGAAACUUUGUGGGUUUCACGGUGAAAAAGUGUUUGUCAGUGUUACUGUAUUUGUUUCCUUUAGCAUCCUAGUAUAGUAACUGUGUGUGUUACCUUUGUAACAAAUACGAUUCUUGCGAAAAAUAGAUGAUGUGGCUUAAUACUUGCUUAAACAGUGAAUUUAGAAGACAUAGGAUUCUAGCUGUUAACCUUUCCAGUAAUCCUUAGUAAGAUUUAGAUUGAUGCCAGUUAACAAUUAUUAUUAUCAGUUGUCUGUUUGGAGUAUACGUUUGUCUGUAUUACUUGAUUUUGAGGAACUGGGUCUCAAUAUUGGUUAGACUUCUGUGCAAUUGAAAUACUUUGGCUACUGUAGACAUUUGGCAGUCUUUUGUAAACCCUCAGUGAUACAUUUUGAACCUCUGCCUUUCUGCACUUGUCUUAUUUGAUGUGGUCUGUUAUUCAGGGGUCAAAACAGAUUGUGGGGUUAGCAAGGCUAAUUGACAUAUAUGAAGUGCAAGCACUUACAUGAAGUAAACCAUUAACAAAAAAGGGAUGGAGUCAAAUUAUUUUUAGGGCAGCACGUCUUGAAAAAGAUACCAAGCUGAUCUCUCAGUCAACAUUGAUAGAUUAAAGUCAGUCAUUUAGCAUUGAUUUAACUCAACGAUUUUUUGGUGUGUAGGUAAGAAGAGCUAUUUCAGUUCUUCACUCUUAGUUUUCACUUUCCAUAAGUAGUUUCUCUUGAACUUUAUUUGCAAGACAAAUGUAGGUGAUCUUCUUUGUAAGUCUGUAGUGUUUGUGCCAAAAAAUGUUUGAACGCAAGGUGUGUAGAUUACUGCCAUAAAUUUUCACAGAUCUUUUUAAUGCAUGACCCAAAAAUACACUAAGUCUUCAAAGUCAUGUUAAAAUGAGAAGGAAACCAUCUACAGUGAAGCCACAAGAAUAGGCCACUUAGGUGCACAUUUUAUGGCUUUCUGCUCAAGGCUUUGGAAAAUGGAGCACCGCAUUACAGUGACAUCUGUAGACCACAGAUCUUUGAAGAGUGCUUUUUUGACUGUUUCGCUUUUCAGCUGUCUCAACAUAGCUAAUGUCAUUUGAGUAAGGAACUUAUUGGAUAGUUUUCUAGAACAACGUAGAAUGUUUAAGUAAGUAAUAUGCCUAAUUUGGAUUUUCUGUGUGAGAAAAUCAUUAAGAUCCAUAGAACAUUAAUAUUUAGAAACAUAAGAUGUAAAUUUUAUAAUAGUUUCAUCAUUUAUUAUAUUUCUGAAAAUCUGAGACUAGAAGCAAAGAGUAUUAAAUGCAGAGCAGAAGUUUCUUGCUAUGUAACUGUUGGAUAUGUUGGCUCAGUCAUGCCUGUGAAAAGUGAAAAUUAAAUAUGAAGUUUGGAUAAAUUGACAUAUGUAGGUUUCUUUGUGUCUUUUAACUGUUAAUUAUUUCCAUGCGCACAUGUGACUGCUGUAGGAAAAUAAUUGAGAUUUUUAAAAAGAAGCUGUUGCUCAGUUUGUGUUGGCAGCCACCUUACUUUAUAACAAUUUCUUCUAAUGUGUGGACACAUGGAGUUGGUUAUAUAUAUUAAACAGUUUGGCAAGUGCCGUGAGUGAAACAUAGACAUUUGUUCACACGAAUCAUGUAAAAAUCAUACAUUGCAUCAAAUGACAGUUUCAACUGGAGAGAAGCAUGGGGGAAGCAUUUUCAAAAAAAAUAUAUAUAUAUUUUAUUUUCAAUACCUAACAGGCUUUUCCAUUAUGACAAGUGAGCCUUGAACUCAAAUUACAUAAUGGACAUUUACACUUUUGGAUGAAGUUUUGUUGCAAAUUUUGAAAUUUAAGUUAAUACUAAUUAUUAUAUUUUUCAGGAUAUAAUUCAAAGUAGUUUUCUUAAAAUAUGAUAAUCUCUCAAUAUUUCUCAACCAUCUCUCAACCAUCAAACCUCACUCUAGACUUUACUUAUUGAAGAAGAUUAUUCAUGUAACAAUGGAGCAAAUUUCAGAAAUCAUGUCUCAUUUUCCAAAGCUUGUAGGCAUCAGGAGUCAGUCUCUUCUCUGCAGAGGUUAACAUCAUUGAAUGAAAUGUGACUUCUGUGAAAAGCACAACUUGUGUGCAUUUUUAAUGCAAUCGGCAUGGCAACCUUUUCAUUUCUUGUCCAUUGCAGUUAAAAUACAAGCAUAUUACAGCUGUAGUUGGCAUAUGACUCUGUUAUUAAGGCUGCAUAACAUUUUCCAUUGCGGGUCCUUUUUUAUUAAUUAAAAUUUAAUUUAGUAUCCAAUUGAAAGGCUUUAUACUGAUGCCAAACAGUGGCCAAGUUAUUUUUAGACUGGCAUACUUAUCCUGUUUCUCAAAAUGAAAUAAGGGGGACAUUGUUUUUUAGAGGGAUUGGAAGAAAAGACUUUGUGGUUUGUUUCUGCAGUUAAUUUAUUUUAUUGGGAAGACCUCAUCCUGCUGUACUUUGGAGUAAAGCCUUGGAUACCAACAGGAAAAGAACUCUUAGUAGAAUGCAACUUUUAUUAUACAAUAAGGAAAAACACCCAAAUUGGCUAAAUUACAGCUUUGAGACCUACUGGUGGAAGUUGUCUCAUUCCCUAUAGUACCUGGUAUGUAUUAGUUCUGUCAGUAACUGUUCAGGCUCUAAUAAUGAAGUCACAUACCAAAUAAGCAGUUCUGCAGUUCCAUUAUUUCACUAAAGAGAACACAGGCUUACUUCAUAUCUCCUGAAGAUAAUGCUGACGGCUCAGGUAUGCUCCUUAAAAAAUGCCAGAAUACGCACACUCUUAAGAUGACCAGUAGUCUUUUGAUUUAGUAGGUAGUAUUGAGCUGUGUUGAUUAAGAUAAUAAAGGCUAACAUUUUAUACAAUUUUGUAAUAUGGAAUUUAGUGUCACAUUUAAUCCCUAGUCAUUUUUAAUUUGUAAGCUGGUCUUCACAGUGUUUUCAGCUUCUUCAUUAAUGAUCCUGAUACUACAGUAGCAAUUGUGUUUUGGAUAAACUGCUUUUGUAAAAUAUAAUGGGAAAUCUGCUUGGAAUUGACACAUUCAUGUUUUUCUAUUUGAUACUCGACCUAAUUUCUUGGGAUGAGAUUCUUACAUAAGAAUUUUACACAUUGAAAUAGUAUCUUGAGUAGUUUUCUGUUUCUUGCUUGUUUACAGCACCCACGUGAAAUGAAACAGUUCUACCAUUUUACAUAUGGAGAGCAUAUGAAAACACAGCUCUGCUAAAUUAUUUAGGACUCAGUUUCAAAGUAGACGACUUUCCAAUUUUGCCAUUGAUUUCAAUUUUGUAAUGGAUUUAAAAUGAUAAUAUAAUUUUUAAACUGUGUGCAUAUGUCUGUGUCAAAUUGAGUUGAAUGCAUUUUUACAUUAGUGUACCCUGGUAAAUGUUUCUGAUUUUGGGGAGUAAUUUGCAUGAGCACCCAUCUAUUUUGAUUAAGUAGCUGAGUAUUUCUGUGAAUUAAGCCCUUCUUUAGAUGGCCUGUCCAGAAGUGCAAAGAAGACUAAUGAUGAAAAGGAAACUGAGAUCAAAUGUCUCGAGUCUUGGACUGGUGUCUAAACCGCUCCACUGUCAUCCUAGUACAGCUGUGGUUUGUCUUGAUGCUUCAGUUCAACCAUCAAGAAGAUUGCAGAGCACUUAGUCAAGAAAAGAGGAAAGUGAGAUAAGACACACAAUUCUGCCUUAAUUCUAAUCCCCAGAAAAUCUGAUGUCUUUAUUGUCAUGAUUCUUGCCACUUUUUCAACUAAGCUUUUAAUACAAGAAGACACUGUAUAUGCUUGCUUAGUUUAGGGUAUGUGGAUAAUCUUGUAACCUUCAUGGUCUAGUAAAAUAAUUGUGGCUCACUGAACGAGGAAUUAAAGAUAGAGUUUAAAGAACAAGACGGUAAAUUACUUAAGAACCCAGAAAGACCACGGCUUCACCCAGAACACUAACUGCUCUGUUUCCAGGAAUAAACAACAAGAAGUAUAUUAAUAGAAUCACAUGAAUUAACACUUUUUUGUAGUAUUUUGAGAUUCUUUUUCAUCAUCUUGAGAUAUCUGAAGAGGUAUUGGAGUCCAGAUACUAGAAAAAAAAUCAGAAUAAAAUCUUAGGAUUGUAUAUCAUGUAAAAAGGCAGGAAUUAUAUAUCAUAAAUACCUUUCUAGCAUUUUUUAUCAUUGCUUAUUACUACCACCUUGACUAUUAUAGGUAACGUAUUUUUUCCAGUUCCUUAUCUUUAUCGAACAAGAUAAGAAUAAUGAGCACUGUCUGAACAUUGAUAUUUAUUUACUGUGUGAACAGUGAUAAUUCUUUACAACUCCUGCAGUAGCUAUGCAUCUAUUUUGAGCAGACUGAGACCUCCAUUGAAGGUCUUGCAGAUUUGUACAUUUGUCUACUGAGGUUUUUAAGUUUCUAAAAGGAAAAUUAUUUACCAGAUACCUACUAAUAGAGGGAAUUUUGUGAAGAGAUGUGGAUGCUUCAUUAUAGAUGUUGAUGGCCAUGCUGGGAAAAAUGCAACUAGUCCCAGGUUUAGGUUUGUAUGGUGGUAGGUUUAAGGGGAGCUGAAGAAGAAAGUUUGGCACUCUGCCUGACACAGGAUGGAGUUAGUGAGAGAUAUGAAGAGCUGCAGCUGCUUCUUUGGAUAGUCCCCAAGGAGGUCUGGUGAUUAAACUGGGGGUGCAGAACAGGGAUCCUGAAGAAAUGUUUUCAUCUUCUGAGAGUUGGUGCAUCAUCUGCCUUUGUAAAACUUAUUUUCCUUCUCAUUUAAUCAUAGUGCACUGAGAUAGGGGAGUGUAUUCCAGCAUUUUUCUUGUGUUUUUCUUUUGUGGGUGUAGCUUUUUUUAAACUUUGGUGGAGAUUUUGUUCCUUGAAAUAAAGUAUUUGGAGACAUAAGAACAGCUAUACUGAAUUUGUGCCAAAUGUGCAUUUAGCUUGUCUUGUUCUGACAGUGACCAAUAGCAGAUACUGGAAGAAGUGUAUAGGAACCGGGCAAUCAUACAGUGUGCUCUAGUCUGCUCUGCCAAGUUUCUAUUCAUCUUCAUGUUAUGGUUUUCCUGUGCCAGAAGUGGUAACUAUAUAUUUUAUAGCUCUUCGUGAAAUUUUGGCGUUGAUAUUUUUUUACCUGCCUUUUGAACCUGUAUACAUUUGUAAUAAGUUUGGUGUGCGUAUGUCUACAGUGUCAUUCAGCAAUGAAUUUUAAUCAUUUAUUUACUGAUCAGGCAAAUUUCUUUCUUUUUUUCAUACCCCUAACUUGUCUGUUAUGAUCAACAAUUGUUUUCUGUUCACUUGAUUCAUUCUUAUUCCUGAUUUUAUGGAUCUUUUGCAUUUUUCUUUCCUCUAAACUGAAAAGUCCUAAUCUGUCUACCAGUUUUUGUUGCCAUUUUGUGCCCUGAAAUCCUGCUCCUCUCUGAGUGUCCUUUUUACUUUCAUUUGUUAUCUACAUGAGGAAGGAGAGCACAGAUCUGCAAUUAAGAUUAUAAAGCAAGAGCAUUAUAGAAUUCUUCAAUGGAAAAAUGAUGCACUGUAUUCUUUUCUGAUAAUUCCAGCGUCGCUGGGAGUUUGGCUUUUGAGGGAAGGUUUUUUAUUCUAUUUUGAGACAGUUUCUGAACACUGAACUGGCAUUUUGUGGAACUGUUUGCUGCAGCUCCAGCAUCAUUCCUCACUGGCCAAAUUCAGAGAGCUUUGCUGAGUACAUUAAAUUACUGUAGAUUUGGGAAGUCUUACUUUCAUUUACAUAAAUUAUUCUUACUCUUCUUUAAAUAUAUAACAUUUUUCAUGUUUUCCAAUUUGAGGCCUGAGCUUUUGAGCCUUUGUAGCUUCUACCAAUUAGCUAUGUGCUGGUUGCAGACACUAUGAGCUGCUGUUAGUUGGAUUUACCCUGUAAAAAAACUGUGCUCAAUAUUGCUACUUACACUUCGACACUAUCCCUCACGUGGCAGCUUCAAAUCAGAAGCUCUGUUCCUGCAUGGAUUCAUUUGCAAGAUUUGGCCUGAUUUUAGCUGACUUCCAUGGUUAACUUAAUAAAACAAAAAAAAAAAAAACAACAAAAAAAAAACCCCAGUAUAUUUAACAGUAUAUUUGUUAUUGUGGUUGUAUUCUGAUUAUGUGGUAUUUUUUGACGUCUGUGUAAUUCCUUCCGUUUAACUCUGUUGUAAUUGUUUUCACCUUUGUUUUGAUUUGCGUAUUACAGUUUGAUGGAAAGAAUAUUAAUGUGUCAAACUCUUAGACUAAUGCACCUUUUCUAAGUUGUUAAAUCAUUACAAAAGACAACUUAUUUAAAAAAAAAAAAAGAUUUUAAGUUGCAAAAUAUAAUUUGUUUAACAUUGCAGCAAUGAGACAUAUAGGAAAUAGUUACUUUCUUAGAGGUGCCAGUCCCUGAAAAUUCUGCUCCUGGUACUUUAUUUUCAGCCAUGACAUUUAGAAGAUCCUUAGACACUCUGUUGGUAUGGUUUACUACUCAAAUGCAGAAAUUGAUAAAUGUUCAAAUCUUCACUUCACUCUGAGUCUACUUAAUGCUAAUUAAAAGGAAUCAUGACAAAUGGGAGAUUAGUACUUGUGCCAGAUUGGGGAUUAUUGGUCUUUAAAAGAAAUAGCUUGGAAAGGUUCGUAGUUUAAUAAAUGUGACAUACUAAAGUAUCUUAGUCCAGAUGAUACUGAUUAUGGUAUAAGUGUUUCUUUAAGAUGGCAUAUAUCUUUCCAUUAAGAAUGCUGGAUUUACAGAAUCAGCCAAUAACUAUUCCAGUAUUUUGUUGUAAACCUUGGAAAACAGAUAGGGGGAAUUCCAUAUCAUAGGUUCCGUGCAGGCAAGCACUGCAUAUCUUGUUGGAGCACAGAGAAUUUUGUCUUUUUUUUUUUUUUUUUUUACUUAAGGUGGAAGUAAUUCAGUUUGAUUUUGUAUCAGACUAGUUUUUAAAAAUCUUACUUCUGUAAAGAGCUGGGAAGUAAGAUGUGAAUGUCAUUUUUCCUAUCUUUUUUAGCAUAAUUGUUACAACCAUUUUAGUAUGCUCUGUAAAUUUCAAAAUAAUCUCAGAUCGGGCUGUUGAAAAUAGUUUUACUGAUAUUAAAGCAGGUAAUGAACUACAUGUAUAAAAUAUGCCAGGUAAAUCUAUAGUAUGGGUGAAAAUCUGCCUUUUUUCUUAAAAGAAACCAGUUUUCGUCUGGUAGAGUGACUGUUAGCAUUGGUGGUGGUUCUGCUCAGUAAAACUGUUUAAUUUGAUUGAAGUGAAGAAGAUGACACUCUGUGUGCCAUUACUUAUCUCAGUCUCCUCAAGAUGCUCAGGAAGCUGCCUGGACUUGAGUCCCAGGAAACAGGAAACUGUUGCCCAUAGGGACUCAGAACAUAAAUCGGAAGUAGGAUUAGAAAUAUACAGCAUAGAAAAUUGCCCACAUCUGAUUUUAGUGCAGGCCAUCUCAUACCUGAUUUUCUUAAAGCAGGCAUUCCAGGAGUCAUAUUGAAUUUCGUUCUUUAUUUAUUAAAAAAAAAAAAAAAAAAAAAAAAAAAAACUGAGAGUUUUAUGGUAUUUAAAGAAGAGCUAGAAAGUGUGAUGGGAGAGUAGUCUGUGAAUACAGCUAAAGCAAUGCUGUUUUGCUUCCAGGACUUUAUUUUUCAAUCAGUCCAAAGACUCCUUGGGAUCACAGAUCUGAAUAAUCUGGAUCUCUUCUACUGAACACCUGCCUACAUGUAUGUCUCUUGGCACUGUGUUCAGAACGUUUUUGUUACAAUUUUAUUUGUGAUUGAAAAAUGAUGUAAAUUACCUUUAAAAAAAAAAAAAAAGAGCAACUACCAAAAAAAAAAAAAAAAAA